AUCGAACCUGCAGCCUUAUGGUUCCUAGUUGGACUCGUUUCUGCUGUCCCACAAUGAGAACUCUAUCUGGAUUUUUACAUGCAAUUCUAUGAUUUUUUUUAAAGCUGCCUCAAACUCUUGUUUUAAAUCUCUGUGAGAACCAACUAUCACACAUUUUUAAGUUCGCGUAACCACUGGGCAACCAGUUUUCUACUUCUGCAUCACUCUGAAGAAAGGAUAGAGAGUUUGAAUGUGGUUGCAGAGAUGUGUAGCUGACAGCCCUUUCAACCACAGGAAUGCCCAGUGCAUGGGAGAUCCAAACCCCAAUCAGUCAAACCUCAGGGAACAGUGAAGAUUGUAGGUCCCGAACAAAGGAGGGUCAGGCAGAGACCCCCCGAAUCCCAGGAGCUGAGAAGAUUGUACCUGAGCUUUGAUAGAAAACCAGCUCUCUAGGAAAACAAACAAACAAAAAAACCUGGCAUUUGCCAAUUUUUAUAAUGUAAACAUUCCCACCAUAACCAUUGGCUAGUGAUAGUUUAACAACCAGCUUACAAAAUUCACGAAUAUUUAACACUUGGCUCCAGAUAUUGAACAGUUGGUACACCAGAGUCCAGUGGUUUCAAAAGGGUUGCAUAUCACAAUCACCAGUGAGCUUUUAAAAAUUUCAGCUUCCCAGGCCCAUUCCAGAGCCACCAAAUCAGACUUUCAGUGGGGCAUUACAGGAUGUUGUGUUUUCAAGAAACUUUCUGAGAUGAGCAGCAAGACCUGGCAUUCCCUAAUGUAAUCCCCACUUCCAACUAGAAAGAAGUAGUCUAAUGAAGACAGCCUGUUUAGAGCAUUAAAUGAAAGAGUAUAGAACAGAGGUAAAGAACCCAGGACUCUGAGAGACAGAAAAUAAGCAUGUUAAAUAUUGUGAAGUAAUUAUGAUAAAACAAAUUUAAUUAUAAAUAGCAGUUUUGGAGUUCAAUCACUGUUCUAGGAAUCUUACUUGCAUAACUUUUAAAAAUCCUUACCCUUUGAGGUAUCACUAUUAUUUCUAUUUUAUAUAUGGGAAAAUCAUGAUACAGAGAAAUUAAAAAACAUGCCUGAGGUCCCAAUACUACUACACAAGAGAGCUGGGAUUAGAAUCCAGGCAGCCUGGUUCUGGAAACUAGUCUUAACCACAAUUAGGGAACGUACCUUUUUCCUAAAGAUAAUUUUGCAUAGAGUAGCUGUAAUCAGAAGUUUUUGAAUUAGACUGAGUGUAGGGUAGGAUUUCAUUUUUUUUAGAAGAUCACAUCCUUCUGUCUUUAACAGGGUAUCUGGAAAUCUUUGUAGGCUUUUCUCCCAUUUUAGUGACCCCUUGGCAAAGUCUGUUCUGAAUCCGCUAGUCCUCAAGUAGAUAGAUUUCAUGAUUACUGACAGGAAGAGUUGAAUCUUCUAUCUCAUUUUUCGGUCAUUUGGUUUUCCCUCUACUGGGCACCCUAGAUGGUAUUAACGGUCCUUAAACCGGCUCUGGAAUUGGACCCCACAUCCCCCGGGGGCUAUAUGCCAUCUGUUUCUAAGUCAUCCUGCCUUCGGUCUUCCGUUCAACAUUGUCCUGGCCUCACACCCUGACUGAGGCUAGAAAUGGGUGUUUGGUGCAGAUGUUCUGCUGUGCAAGACAGUUGGCAGUCUGUCCUCACAGGGCAAGCCUGGGAGCAUUAAACAUUCCAGAUCUUCCAGGCACAUGAAGAGCAGAAUGAUAACAACCCUAUAAAAACUUUAGGAGCUCUUUCUCCACAAAAUGAUCCAAAACUAACCUGCAUUUACCAAGUAUAUAAAGCCAAAUUUGGAAGAAAUAAACCUAGGAAGGUCAAAUAGUGCUGUAGUGGAAUGUUUAUCUUCUGACUCAUUUUAGAAAGGGUUUCAGGCAAGGGUCUCAGUCCCAGAGGCCAACAGUAACUAGACUGAUAUAAAUGAGAAGCAACCAGCUGCACACUGUGGUGACUGGGAGAAAUGCAUGCCUCAUCUAAAAGGGGAAACCCCUGCCUAGGGUCAGCCUAUUGUGAACACGUCUGUCAGGUUUCAAAGAGAAGUCACAGGACUUUCAAAUGUCUGAAUGAGAGAUGAUGUAAUUUGGACCAAUGAGUGCAAACAGAAAAGCUGGCCAAAGUACUUAAAAAUAUGCUUGAAGAUGUUGAAGAGCUAACACAAGAGUAAAGAAUCCUAGAGCGAGGAUCUGGGGCUGGAGGAAAGUCAGCAGAUACAUCAAUCCAGGAGCCAAAGCCCGGCUUUAGAGAUUUAAAGCUGUUAAAUAGCAUGUAGACCAUCCCUCUCGUUUUAUGGAUGCAGAAACUGAGACCUAUAGCAACUUCAGUGAAGGUCAAAGCUGUAAGAUUUGUCUUCUUACCUUAUAAAAGCAACCCUGCCUCCAUGACAGGUAAGCAAUGCGGACAUUUUUGGAAUGAACCAUGAAAGCCUGCCCACCAGCACCUCAGUCCCUUCCUUCCCACCCUCUCAACACUUUCCCUUCAAUGUGCAUCUUUCCAGGUUUUCUCUGUGCUCCUUCCUCAGCAAGGGGCAGGGGGUGGUGGUGCAUGACCAAAAUACCUUGGAAGGGCC